UACGGAGGGAGCUAGCGUUGUUCGGAAUUACUGGGCGUAAAGCGCGCGUAGGCGGCUUUGUAAGUUAGAGGUGAAAGCCCGGGGCUCAACCCCGGAACUGCCUUUAAGACUGCAUCGCUUGAAUCCGGGAGAGGUGAGUGGAAUUCCGAGUGUAGAGGUGAAAUUCGUAGAUAUUCGGAAGAACACCAGGUGGCGAAAGGC
rnacentral:rRNA from 1 species